UACAUAGCAUUCAGUUAAGUGGUUCACUGCUCCCAUUUAUUAUUCAUCAUGUUCCCAGUUGUUAAGGGGUAUGAUAUGCUUGGGUUUCUCCUUGGGGAAAUGGCCCCAUAGAAAAAUGAAACCAAGGGUUCAGAAUAAAUGAACUCAAUAGCCAAAUUGGAAUUACAGUGUAGUCUUCUCCUUAGAUCUUAAAUGACUCCAAAUUCUCUAUCUUCUCUAUUCUUGUAGACAUUAUCCUCUCAUUUUAAAGAUCAUCUGAAAUUCAGCUUCAUUAAAAAGUGAAAAAUAACUGCUCCCCAACCAACAAAAUGGAAAACCAACUUCUUUUGCCUAAGUUUCCACAAGCCAUUUGGAUUGACAAUUCCUGGAUUGAAAGCAUGAACAUGAAUGGAACUAUCAUUGUAGUGGUGUGACCUCAGGGGUGCUGUCCUCGCAACCAUAGGCUUGUGAUAAUUUUCAAGGCUAUGUUAUUUCGUCUUCAUAUGUCAGCAUCAAUAUUGCUUUCUUCUGACUGUGAUUUCAGGCUGUUGUCACUGUUUUCUUCUUCUGUUCUUCAAAUUUCCAUAAAGAAUAUGGCAGAUUCUACGAUUCAGAGAAUUUUUUCUGGUCUGGAAAAAUGCGAGACUGUUGGAGUAUAAAGUGGUGAUAAUUGGGGAAGAAAAAAGAAAUACUGCAGUUGGCCACAGGUAACUGAAGCAGUGAAAAGCGAAACCGUGGAUAAAGAAGGACAACGGUAUCCUGUUGGAAAUGUUAAUAGUGCUGCAGCUGAGAAACCCUGAAUUAGAGGAGCGUAUUCAAAGAAUCUUCUGAAGAUCUUUAGAGAAAUCUUCUUAUGGCCAGAGAAUUUGAAGGUCUGCUAUUCAUGUAAAGACAGAAUCUGACAGAAGAUCUAUUCGGAACACAGGCACAUCGUGAAGCCCCUGCUUUGGAACACUAACGGCAGUUCGUGUUCCACUUUAGAUAAUGAGCAGGAUGAGCUGCGGGUUUCAAGAGGAUUUGUGCUAUCAGUUGACAAAAACAGUGAAAGGGAGCCUGGACUCAUUCCCUGUUUCCUUUUAACCAUUUGCUGGGACGGGAACCACGUAGCCAUUAACAUAUCUCAGAGCGAUAUGAACAGAAGUGCCUGCUCGGUGUAUUUUAGAUAUAUUAAAUAAUAAUAUUUCAAAGGGAGUGAUUUGUUUGCCUUUACAGGGACUUAAAAAAAAAGUAACUUGAGUAUUAGUCUGGUUCACCAGUUCAGAAUAUUGGAUCCUGUUACCAAAGUGGAGACAAUACGGGCCAUUUGUGUGACAGGCACUAACACUGCACAUGGACCUCUGGGAGCAGGCCAGACAGAUAGAGCCAGCAGCCCUGUUCCCUGGGCAGAUUUUCUGGCCAUCACCGCUGUGAACUGAGCAAGAGUAUCACUUAAAGGUCUCUGACUACAACCUCACUCAGUGUUGAAAAGGGAAGGAGAGAAUGCCCUUACCUGACCCUUCAUGGGAUGCUCAAGUGACCACCCCUGAACCAUCUGAAGAAAAGGCAAGGAAUAAAUAUGGACUCUGGGAAAUCUUGUUAAGUAUCCAUUCGUUCUGUGUGAGUCAUUGUAUAAUGAACUGUGAUAGGCAAAAAAUAAAUAAAUAAAUAAAUAAAUAAAUAAAUAAAUAAAUGAUAGUUCCUUCUUUUGAGGAGCUUACAAUCUAUUAAUUUUACACAGUGAGCCUAUUUGUAUGAGAAACUUUCUUAUACACAGCAAUAUAUAGGCAUCAAACCAGAAAAUGGUAAGUCUAAAUGAGUAAUCCUGUCAAAAUAUUCCAUAGGAAUUCAUAAGAGCCAUGGGUUCAAGUGAUGACAGAAGACAUCACAGAGGUGUAAUUGCUGAUUGGCCCAAUGAUGUGUCAUUUGCUGGUUUUCCUAGGGCAGGGAUUGAUAAACUCUAGUCCAUGGACCAAAUUUGGCCCACUCCCUUAUUUUGGUAAAUACAGUUUUGUGGGAACAACUACACAUUCAUUCAUUUAUGUUUGAGUAUGGCUGCUUUCGUGCUACAACAGCAGAGUUGAGUCCCAGGAUCAGAGACGCCCUGGUCUGCAAAGUUGAUAGUAUUUACCAUCUAGCCCUUCUCAGAAAAAAUUGAUCCCUUUCCUAGGGGUUUACAAUAUUAAAAUAGAAAAUCUGGUUGGUCAGAGGGAGUAAGUUUAGGUUAAAGAUAUGUUCAUCUUUAGACAUCAUGACUUUGACGUAAUUGUGGGAUAUCCAAACGUAUAGUAGAUAGUUGAUGGGGCUCUAGAACUUAUACAAAUGUUCUAGGCUAAGACUACUGUUUUGAUCACAUUCCAGUAGAAGGGCUGUAGAUCACAUUCUGUGAUAUAAGAGAUAUAUUCUGAUGGAUAUUUUGUAAUGAUAAAAAAGAAAAAAAAA